rnacentral:rRNA from 1 species
UACGAAGGGAGCUAGCGUUGUUCGGAAUCACUGGGCGUAAAGCGCGUGUAGGCGGCCAAACAGGUCCGUUGUGAAAACUGGAGGCUCAACCUCCAGACGUCGACGGAAACCGUGUGGCUAGAGUCCGGAAGAGGAGAGUGGAAUUCCUGGUGUAGCGGUGAAAUGCGCAGAUAUCAGGAAGAACACCAAUGGCGAAGGCAGCUCUCUGGGACGGUACUGACGCUGAGGCGCGAAAGCGUGGGGAGCGAACAGG